AGUGAACGCUGGCGGUAGGCCUAACACAUGCAAGUCGAACGGAAGCACAGUAAGAGCUUGCUCUUACGAGUGGCGCGUGGCGGACGGGUGCGGAAUACAUCGGAAUCUACUUUUUCGUGGGGGAUAACGUAGGGAAAGUUACGCUAAUACCGCAUACGACCUACGGGUGAAAGCAGGGGACCUUCGGACCUUGCGCGAUUGAAUGAGCCGAUGUCGGAUUAGCUAGUUGGCGGGGUAAAGGCCCACCAAGGCGACGAUCCGUAGCUGGUCUGAGAGGAUGAAUAGGCACAUGGGAAGUGAGGAAGGGUACAGACCCCUACGGUAGGCAGCAGUGGGGAAUAUUGGGCGAGGGGGGAGAGGCGGAUCCAGCCAUACCGCGUGGGUGAAGAAGGCCUUCGGGUGGUAAAGUCCUUUUGUUGGGAAAGAAAAGCAGCAGUUUAAUACCCCGCUGUUCUGACGGUACCCAAAGAAUAAGCACCGGCUAACUUCGUG
rnacentral:rRNA from 1 species